rnacentral:rRNA from 1 species
CCUACGGGAGGCAGCAGUGGGGAAUAUUGCACAAUGGGGGGAACCCUGAUCCAGCGACGCCGCGUGAGUGAAGAAGUAUUUCGGUAUGUAAAGCUCUAUCAGCAGGGAAGAAAGAAAUGACGGUACCUGACUAAGAAGCCCCGGCUAACUACGUGCCAGCCGCCGCGGUAAUACGUAGGGGGCAAGCGUUAUCCGGAUUUACUGGGUGUAAAGGGAGCGUAGACGGCGAUGCAAGUCUGAAGUGAAAGGCGGGGGCCCAACCCCCGGACUGCUUUGGAAACUGGAUGGCUGGAGUGCAGGAGAGGUAAGCGGAAUUCCUAGUGUAGCGGUGAAAUGCGUAGAUAGUAGGAGGAACACCAGUGGCGAAGGCGGCGUACUGGACGGUAACUGACGUUGAGGCUCGAAAGCGUGGGGAGCAAACAGGAUUAGAUACCCCUGUAGUC